CUACUUUUUACACUAUCUCAAUUUAAUUUAUCUUCACUUAUAUUAAAGGUUUUCGUCCAAAAGCUCUUUCCUAUAAACCAUACCAAUAAAUUCAAUGCAAGGAAGGCGAGACAUCAGCUUUUCACUCAGAGGAAUAGAGCACAAAAGAGGAAGCCUUCAAGAUCCUACUAUCCAUCCUUUUACCUGAUAAGUAUAUAAAGAACAUAGUAUUAAGAAAGAGGACUGCAAACCUUCCUUCACAUGGUAUAGCCUGGCUCACUUCCUGCCUUGGAGAAGAUUGUUUCAAUACCUGUGAGCACGUGCAUUACAAGAGACAGACUUGCUCCUUCCUGCAUCAAAAACUGAGCUCUGAAUAUUUCUCUGGGAACCUUAAGCACAGAGAAUUAGCACAGAAUGCCUUCCUAUCCCUGAAAGAAAAAAGGAGUUGACUGAGGCAGCACCACAGUGACAGGCUGAGGACCAGAUCCACAUGGCUCAGGAGUGAAAGAGAGAAAUGAAACCAAGGCCUCCUACAGCAAAUUUCAUCCUACGUCUCUUCUCCCUUUCCCAUACUAAACUGUAUUGUCUUAAUCUGGAAACAUGAUUUAUUUCUGAAAUAUCUAGUGGGUGGCAGAGGUGGGGAGCAAAGCUUCACAAAGCUCCCCAGAGCUGCUGACCGAGGUAAAUAGUGUGUCAUAACACAUUUAUCAAAUAAUAAUGGAAACCGUAUAGAGCACAUAGGAGAGGGAGGGGGAAACACCAUUCCCCACUGGGAAGUUACUGAAUAUUUCAGCCAGUUUAUAAAAGUAUGUGUACAUGUGUUUGGAAGGGGGGAGGUUUUUCUAGCUUCACCUCAGCAAAUAAAUCAUUGGCGUGGGAUGUCUGAGCAGACAAGUGAAAUGGAUGAGCGCAUUAUGGAUCAAGGAGGUGGGAUUCCUGCCUUGGUUAGUUUGAGACAGACCACCCAAGCACUGUGGGUCUUAGAUGAGACUAUAAGUAGUGCUUGUAGAGUUCUGAAAGGCCGAGGCUGCAGCAUCUGACAUGGUGCGAAGGUGGGGAAUAAAAUAAAAUGGAUGGUAUUUCCCAUAUAGCAGGCAUGACUUACCUGAGCUGAUGUUGUUCCUAGUAUUUUUUUUCCUUUGGCUGGAUUUCCACUAUAGAUAAAAUGAAAAGGAGAAAAUAUGACAAAGGUGUAAUAGUUAUGCCUGUUUUGAAAAUAAAUUAAAGUUUAGGUCAAGUAAAAAAAAAAGAAAAUAAAAAUUUAAUGAUGAUGUAUUUGUACAUUAUUCACUGUUUGCCACUAGUCACUUUCAGAAUACAGAAGCCAUAGUGAGAUACUCCCAUUGAAAUUAAGAAUCAUGCAUCAUAACUGGUCUACUGAAGUCAUCAAGAAUUACUUCUGGAAAAAGACAGCGAUUCCAUGUGAAUAAGGCUUACAGAACAUGGAUGAACAUUACCAAAAAAUACCCAAGUUAAAAGGAGCCAGCAAAGACAGUAUCUUUAUAAAUAUAUGUAUAGUUAAUACUCUGGAAUUUUUGCAAGGAAGAUAUAGUUAUGAAGUUUGGAAUGAUCAUCUUUAACAGGGAAACCUCUUGUAGUGCAACUGAUCACCUUUUUAUAUUUAUACAUGUCAAUCGUGAUUGAAGGCUGAUCAGUCUACAUAUAGUAUGAAUUAGAUUAAUUUUAGAUUGUAAGGAAGCAAAAUAGGAAACAUAGAAAAUUAUCCGUAUAAAAUUAUCCUAUUUUUAUUUUUCUAAGAAAAAAUGUGAUCUUGAUGUUUUUCUACUAUAAUUUAAAAAUUUUAUCAUGUUUAAAAAUUUUGAAGGAAUAUUGGAAGUUUGUACCAACAUUUAUCUUAUAGUAGACAAUCUUAAAUUGCUUUAAAAUUAUUUUAAAACUGUUGCUAAAAAAAUUCCAAACAUGUUUUUUUAAAAAAAUGUUGUUUCCCACCCAUGGAAUACCUUUCCUCCUGGCUUGAUAACAUCUGAAAGCAAUCCAUUAGCGUUUGCAGCCACAUGCAGCCUCCCACCCUGCCAGGUCAGACACUGCUUUUGCUUGGCGACUGGGCCAGAGGCUGUAAGGUGAAGCCUUGGGAAAGCUCAGCUUUAACACCUGCCAGGGGAUGGCCUGGCCACACAGGGGAGGUGCUGCUGGUUUUCAGCUUCAGCAUUAAUAGUGUGUCUACCUACAUCUCCCCUGAAGUUUUGAUUUGGUGCAGUAUCAUUCAUUUGGUGCUUUAAAUUGUGUAGUGCAACUUUUUCUCCCCAUGCUCUUGAAUGUCUGCUCUGUUUCAAAAGUUGCUGAGUUUUGCCUGCAAGAGAAGAUUUUUUUUUCCCUCAAGUUUUAAGGGGGACUAACUGUUCCUGGGCAGGGGAUGAACAGAUGGUGUUUGUGCUGGAGAACAAGGCUGCAAGAGACUGGAAAGAAUCCUUCUCUGCCCAAGGGCUUUAGGCACCCAAGCAACUGAUCUACAGCCAGUGCUAUAAACCGGGGGCUAUGGUUGCAGCUGUGAUCUCUGCAUGAGAUUUACAGCCCCUGGAUUUGCCCCUGCUGUGUUCCCAGCCUGACUAAAGCAACUUGCUACAUUCCCAGCAUAUCCUUGCAGAACAUGUUGCACAUCAGGCUGGGGGAUAUUUUUGAGGCUGUUCCACAACUCCAUCAGUUCAUGUAGUCUACCUACAGCCUGGCCACUGGUGGGAAAGUUCUUCCCUGUCUCAAGCCCAUUCUUGCCACUAAAUGUGGUGUUAUCUAGGUUCUUAGCUACAGUAGUGAUUAGUUCUCUAGAUACUAAUAAAAAAGUAAAAAAAAAAUGCCAGGUACUGCUGAAGUAAAAGGAAAAUUCCCUUUUAAAAAGUUUAUUCAGGGUUUUGUUACCACUGAAACUAUUGGGAUAUUACCCUAUUUUUCUACUGCUGGUGUCUGUGCACUGAGGCUAAUUGCACUCAUUUGUGUAGAAGUUUAGCAGUUAAACAACUGUACAGUGAGAGAGAGGACAGAAAAGAGAGCUGCCCUGAAUGGCAGAAAAGCAGCAAGACAGAAAGGGAAGAUCUGUGAUCCUGUGAAUCCCCUUGCCUUCUCUGCUCCCUUUUCUAGAAGUUUCUCCAUCAAGAGGUCCUUUGUAAAGGACCCUUCUUGCUGUGUCUGCUGUGCACCUCCUUAGCACUUUCUCAGCUUGCCAUGUUUAAGGCAACCUCAGAGAGUGAAACCCAUGCCUGAUAACUCUGCAGCUAAAUUAAUAUGUAAGAAAUGCAGUAUUAAAAAGGGCCAGAAAAGACUGAUUUGUUGUUGAAAGCGUUGUCUAAUGCAUAUUGUUGAAAGGAUUCUUCUAUGCAAAGAAGACAGGUUUCCUUGACAUAAAGAAUAGGCCUUGAUCCCAUAAUUAUUUUGGCAGGUGCUUAAUUCCCAAAGUGUGAGUUAUCCUAUGAAAUUCAAUGCACAUAGUGAAACAAAGGAGUGGGAAGGGAGGAGGAAGGGAUUACAUAUGCUGAGAGAAAGGCAAGAGGGGCUCUCUGAAAAAAUGGGUCUGAAAGGAGGAUUGAAGGAGGAGAGGAAAGGUGAUUGGCGGAUGAGAACAGGAAAGCAAUUCACAUUUGAAGUUGAAUCAGCAGUUGCUGACAUGAAUGUGACACUAAUGGAAAGAAUUUGGAAAAAGAAGGGAUAUAAGGUAAUAGAUUUGUUCUCUUCAAAACAUUCUGUGUGCAGGUAAUAACAUGUAGAGUUUGUUUAUAAUAACUUAAAGUGACAUCUUUUGGUUUCAAAGUGAAUUCAUGGUCAGAAACAAGAAAUUCCACAAUUACCAGUUUUUCUUUCGCUUUCCUUCUUUCUUGAAAUUUAUUUCUGGAAGUCAUUAAAAUUCUGAUCCCAUCACUUGUAACAAAUGAUGUGAAGUGUUAGGUACAGUACUUGGAAUAUAUGUUUGUUAAAAUGAAGGAAGAGACUCUUCCAACACUUUGGGAUUUUAUGAAUGAUUUACAUCUGGUGCUAAAGUUCAUAAAUGAAACGUGGGAGAACCAGAUGCUUCAUUUCUUGACUGCAUCGUGUCUGCACAUACUGAUGGUGAAUUGAAAACAGGAAUGUCUCAUAAAUCAAGAAAAUCUAUUUUUGUACUCUUGAUUUCUAUUCUGAACAUCCAUAUAAUGCCCAAACAAAAGUGGUAAAAUUGGUUCCUUGAGAAACCCUUUAUGUUUAGUAACAGUGUGGACAUGUUAAUAAAAAAGCAAAAAAAAAAAAAAAAAGAGAGAGAAAAAGGAUCAAAUUUUCAGACUAAAAAGUGCUCACUCAUAAUGAUCAACCAUUCUUGGAGAUAAACAUUGAAGACACUUCAUUUAGCAAGAGAAAGACUGAAUGGAACUUCUGGGCAAACUCAGUUGGCCAUACAAAGAGCUGUGGUGUAUAGUAAGGUGACAUUUCUCAGCUUUUGGCAUUGAUGGAAAUUUACUGACAUGAUAAAAGAAGGCAGAAUCUGGCCCACCAACUGAAUAGGAAGAUUGGAGCCCAUAUUUGGGGAGAGAUGUAAAAUAAAGAUGUUUAAUUUUUCCAUCAAUGUUUUGGAAUGUGCUCUUAGCCUACCCUGUUUUCUUGUUGACAUCUUCUACUGGCCUAAGAACUGUAAACAAUGCAUCUCAUGAUGUUUAUUUAGUUGCCACUAAAACUUUUGUAAAUAGGAUUUUAAAAUAUACUUUAUUGUUAUAAUGAAAGAAUAAGCACAUUUCUGUCUAAAGGGUUUUUUAAAUAGAACUAAUAGGUUCCCACUUCCUUGAUUUCAUAGUAUGUGUUUAUACACACAUUUUAAAUUAUUAUAUUACAGUACCAAAACUACCUGUGAGAAAUGGCAGGGUAACAAUAACAAUUUUGGAUGAACAAGUUGUACCAAAGGGUUACCAAGUACCAGCUGAUGCGUGGUAGUGCCCACGUGUUUCCUCUCAGCCUCCAACAAAUGCAGGUGAUUGGAGUGGGUUCAGUUCUCCGUGCAGGUGUGUGAGGCUGACUUGACUCACCUUGCAAUGCUGUGGGGGGAACAGUGUGCAUCCAGGCAAUUCUUGCAGCUCAACAGAAACUUGUUACCUUGUGGGAUCUUGUUUGUGUGUCUAAGCCCUAGAUGUGCAUACCUUGCUAUUUCUGUUAACAAUUGAAAACAAAUAUUUAUUUAAAUUUAUUUGCACAUCCUACACACAGAUUGAGUGUAGGUGUGCUGACAGAAGGGAGAUUUUAGGAAGGAUUUCAUAAAGGUGAAGGAAAUGGCUUGGCAGCUGGGUUUCAAGGAGGCACCCCAAAUGCAAGGAGCAACCCCAAACCAUGGAGGGCCUUGUGAUGGUAUCGGGGUAUGCACGGCUGGCAGAGGAGGCAGAGCUUGUGAGCUGGGGCAGCUGACCUGGCUUUCAGAGGCAGGUAGGCAGAUUGUAUAAACACACCAUUAGCUUAUGUAUCUGCUACUCCAGUAUUUCUCUUGUGGAAGCCAGUGGAUUUUUUUUUUUUUUUUUUUUAAUAAGGAGAAGAUCAAGCUAUUUUAGGGGGAAUAUUCCAUUUUAGGUUGGGCAUUGUACCCACUUUCAGGCUGAGGUGGAGUCACUAGAAGUGACAGAAAUGCCCUGAACUCCUGUUAGUUACUUUGCUGCUCAAAAUCUGUCCCUAACUAAUACAAAUUGCUAUAUGUCAUAAAACACAAAGGAAAGCUCUUUUCCCACCAAAUAUCAGAAAAGUGCUCUCUUUUCUGAACUGCAGAAGUAACAGAAAUGAUGUGUUAAUUUCACAUUCUAUUCAUGUAGGCCCUAAUAAAAGCUAUUAUAAAAUACAAUUGUGUGGAGACAAAAAGAGAGAUAAUAUCACUAUAGCUCAAUAUAAAAUUUAAGUAAUUAAGACAUGAAAACUAUUACACAAUUUACUAUGAAUGCAAUGUGAAUAAUAAAAGGUUUAACCAUUUCAA